GGGCCGGCCCCGCCCCGUGGCCCGUGUGCCGGCGGCGCCCCCUGGGAGGGCAGGGUUAACUCCGCGGGGGGGGCGGCACUGGCUGCGCGCGGCCGCUGGCGAGCGUGGAGCGUCCUCCUGCUGUCGCCCCCUCCCCACCCCCCUCCAAUCCGGCUGGAUCCUGUUGCGGUGCCGCUGGCGCUGCUGGGAUGGGGGGGAGGGGGGCGGUUUCUCUGCGCAGCGAGGACCGCUCGCACGCAGCCACAGCGGCUCGCCGGGAGGGACCGAGCGCGCGCGGGAGCCAGGCGGGAGCCGCCGCAGCGCCGGGGGGUGGUGGUGGUGGCUCAGAGCCGCCGUGCGCUGCGCCAUGCCGAAGAGAAAGGUGACGGCGGCAGAGGCGGAGGCCGGUGAGGAGCCGAAGAGGAGGUCGGCGCGGCUCUCCGCUAAACCUGCUCCUGCCAAAGCAGAGCCGAAGCCAAAAAAGUCAACAGCAAAGGAUAAAUCUGAGGACAAGAAAGCUCAAACAAAAGGGAAAAAAGGGCCUAAAGGAAAACAGACAGAAGAGACAAACCAAGAACAGACAAAGGACAACUUCCCUGCAGAAAAUGGAGAAACAAAAAAUGUGUUUCAGCUUAUGUAUGCAGUACUUACAUUAGGAUCUAUUUCUGCCAAAAGAAAGGUAUAGAUUAUGAAAACAUCAAUAGAUACGCCGGGAAGAGUCUACUUCCUCCAAAAAGGGUGGAAGUAAAUUUGCAGUGAUGUGAAACAGUCCCUGAAAUGAAGGAAAAAGACCCCAGGAUCUGAUGCAGCAGUAGAGAAAGAAGCUAAGUCUGAAUAACAUCUCAUACCGACUCUUUAAUUGGUGGUCCUUAUACCUUUCUUCUUGUACAAUUCAGAGGAUUAUUUUUAUCAACUAUUUUGUAAAUGCAAGUUUUUUAGUAGUUCUAGAAAACACAUUUUUAAAAAGGAAAGAAUCCCAACUCAACCCAUUUUUUUACAGAUUUAGAUAAGUGUAAAUGCUUUUUUAAAGUGGUAAAAUCAUGUACUCGUUGUCUGUUUUCUGUGCAACCAGAAAUUAAUGGAAUGUUGAGGGCUUCAAAGUCUUGAUUAGGCUUCACGUUCCAUAGACAGUGAGGGACAGUUUUUCUAUCCUAUUAAACGAAGCAUAACAGAUCAAACUUUGGAAUUCAUGAUGUGUUUAAAAUGUCUUAACAUUGUAGUUAUUUAUCUAUGAUUGUACUAUCAGUAGAAUUGCUUACCUAAUAAAACUGUUCCCUAGUGUUGGA